CAAAGGAAUGUUCGAUUUCAUCCACCGCACGGUCCGUGAAGAAGGCGUUUUAUCCCUGUGGAGAGGCAACGGGAGCAGCGUGCUCCGCUACUACCCUUCCGUGGCUCUCAACUUCUCCCUCAAGGACCUCUACAGAAACAUCCUCCGCAACAGCAGCUCUCAGGAGAGUCACGUCUUCUCCGGGGCCUUAGCUAACUUCAUCGCUGGCUCCGCGGCGGGAUGCACGGCUUUGAUUGUUGUUUACCCUCUUGAUAUAGCUCACACGCGUUUGGCUGCUGACGUUGGGAAGAAGGAGGCUCGUCAGUUCAGAGGGAUUCAUCAUUUCUUGACGACGGUUCAGAGGAAAGACGGUGUUAGAGGGAUCUACAGAGGGUUGCCUGCGUCUCUGCACGGUGUGAUUGUUCACCGUGGGCUGUACUUUGGUGGGUUUGAUACGGUUAAGGAGGUUUUGUCUGAAGAUAAGGAGUUGGCGUUGUGGAAGAGAUGGGUUUUGGCUCAGGGUGUGACUACUUCUGCUGGUUUGGCUUCUUACCCGUUGGAUACGGUUAUAACACGCAAGAGACCCGAAUCAGUCUCCAAUCACAAUUUCUAGGGUUAAUUUGGAAUCUCCUUUGCUCGUGUACAAUGCCAGAUUGAACCAAAUCAAAACCAACCCCCAAAGUUUCGAUUUUUAAUAAACCCAAUUGCCUCCGCUCGCUAAAAAGAUCGAAACUUUACCAUCGCAUUAUCAAAGAUGGGCAUCCAAGAAGACCCCGGCGCUCACUCGUCAACCCGAAGGAACCCAUCAUCGCUUCCACAGACUCUCAAACAUUUCCACCGAGACCUACUCGCCGGAGCCGUCAUGGGAGGCGUCGUCCACACCAUCGUCGCCCCAAUCGAGAGAGCCAAGCUCCUCCUCCAGACCCAGGAGAGCAACAUCGCCAUCGUCGGAGACUCCUCCGGGAAGAGACGCUUCAAAGGAAUGUUCGAUUUCAUCCACCGCACGGUCCGUGAAGAAGGCGUUUUAUCCCUGUGGAGAGGCAACGGGAGCAGCGUGCUCCGCUACUACCCUUCCGUGGCUCUCAACUUCUCCCUCAAGGACCUCUACAGAAACAUCCUCCGCAACAGCAGCUCUCAGGAGAGUCACGUCUUCUCCGGGGCCUUAGCUAACUUCAUCGCUGGCUCCGCGGCGGGAUGCACGGCUUUGAUUGUUGUUUACCCUC
rnacentral:lncRNA from 1 species